CGGGACUGCCGGUUUUAAGCCGGAGGAAGUGGGGAUGACGUCAAGUCAGCAUGGCCUUUAUAUCCUGGGCUACACACACGCUACAAUGGUCGGUACAAUAAGGUUGCCAAGCCGCGAGGCGGAGCCAAUACCCACCAAAGCCGGCCUCAGUUCAGAUUGUAGGCUGCAACUCGCCUGCAUGAAGAUGGAGUUGCUAGUAAACGCAGGUCAGCUAUACUGCGUUGAAUACGUUCCCGGGGCUU
rnacentral:rRNA from 1 species